GAGGGUACAGCUCAGUGGUAGAGUGAGUGCAUAGCAUGCACUAGGUCUGGGUUCAAUCUCCAAUACCUCCA
rnacentral:tRNA from 1 species